rnacentral:rRNA from 1 species
GCUUGUCUCAAAGAUUAAGCCAUGCAUGUCUUAGUGUAAAUAACUCUUAUGAAACUGCGAAUGGCUCAUUAAAUCAGUUAUCAAAUACGUGAUGGUCGCCUACUACAUGGAUAACCGUGGUAAUUCUAGAGCUAAUACAUGCGUCAAGACCCGACUUUUUGGAAGGGUUGUAUUUAUUAGAUAAAGAACCAAUCCAUGCUUGCAUGGUUUUGUGGUGAUUCAUAAUAACUGAUCGAAUCGCAUGCCUUCGGGCGGCGAUGUAUCAUUCAAGUUUCUGACCUAUCAGCUUCCGACGGUAGGGUAUUGGCCUACCGUGGCAAUGACGGGUAACGGGGAAUUAGGGUUCGAUUCCGGAGAGGGAGCCUGAGAAACGGCUACCACAUCUAAGGAAGGCAGCAGG